rnacentral:rRNA from 1 species
UACGGGGGGUGCGAGCGUUGUCCGGAAUCACUGGGCGUAAAGGGCGCGUAGGUGGUUUGAUAAGGGUGUGGUGAAAGUCCGGGGCUCAACCCCGGAUCUGCCGUGCCGACUGUCAAACUCGAGGGCUGUAGAGGCAGACGGAAUUCCGGGUGUAGCGGUGAAAUGCGCAGAUAUCAGGAGGAACACCGGUGGCGAAGGCGGGUCUCUGGGCCGAUACUGACGCUGAGGAGCGAAAGCGUGGGGAGCGAACAGG